AUCAAUAAAAAUUCUCUCUCCCUACUUUUCUCUGCAAUACUUUUUUUCUUCUUUUAUUAUUUGAUAACAAGUAUCAAUAUAUAGCCUACUCGAAUUUUCGAUCAUCUGUAUAUAAUGUCACUCAUAUGACGAAAAGCAAAUCUAACUCAGUAGUCAUAACCUUGUUAGGAAACACUGUAUCUAAAUACAAAACGAAAACUGUCUUUAUUAUAUAGCCAAACCAAUAAUUAUACAAAAACAAGUACAAUAAUCCCUACAAGUACAGAACAAAAAUCUCACUCAAACAUCAACAUCCAAAAUGCAUAAAUAUACAAUGUGUAUUAUCUACAUAAAUACCGGGCGGUAAACAACUCAAUGAAUAAUCAUCAAAUCGACGAAGAAGGAGCUAUCGAUCGUCUAGUUCCUCAGUAGAGCGGCAACAGACAAAAUCAGUGAGGAGCAGAUAAUCGCGCCUGAAGCCGGUAGUAAAAACGCGCCGCCUUGGUCCGGUGAUGGUGCCGGAACGGAGGUCACUUCCUGAGCAGAAGCAACCGCCGAUAAAACCACCACAAUGGCAAAAAACACCGUCAUAGCCUUCAAUGCCAUAUCUCAGAAAAUGUAGAAAUCAGAGAAAAUCAGAAAGUACUGUGAACCGGAGUGAAGGGAGAAGUAGGGGUAAGGGGUUUAUAUAAGGAGGUGAGAAACCGUGUGGGGCCCAAGAGAAAGGAAAAACAGCUGGGAAGGACAUGGCCACGUUGAGAAGACAGGUGGAAAGUUGAGUUGAACAAGUAAUAACACAAGAGAAGAAUCGCCGGCGAAGUUGGAAGAUCGUCGUAAUCACGCUGUCCUCUUGUUUGGACAAAUGGGCCACAUGUCAUAUUAACAGGUACUGUAUACAAUUCUCAAUAAAAUAAUAAUUAAAUGGCAAUUCAGUGCAUCAAAUAUUCGUAUAAAUAGGAUUUGGAGAAAGAUCGUACACAGAGAAGUGUAAUGUGGGUAAUAUAUUUUAUGUAAGUAUUAAUGAAUGAUUUCAAAUCUUGAAUCUGUAAUCUAUAUGUUACACGGAGUUAAUUUUAUGAUGGCUUCAAAAC
rnacentral:lncRNA from 1 species